rnacentral:rRNA from 1 species
AUUCUGUAGCAAGGUUAACCGAAUAGGGGAGCCGGAGGGAAACCGAGUCUUAAUUGGGCGUUAAGUUGCAGGGUAUAGACCCGAAACCCGGUGAUCUAGCCAUGGGCAGGUUGAAGGUUGGGUAACACUAACUGGAGGACCGAACCGACUAAUGUUGAAAAAUUAGCGGAUGACCUGUGGCUGGGGGUGAAAGGCCAAUCAAACCGGGAGAUAGCUGGUUCUCCCCGAAAGCUAUUUAGGUAGCGCCUCGUGAAUUCAUCUCCGGGGGUAGAGCACUGUUUCGGCUAGGGGGCCAUCCCGGCUUACCAACCCGAUGCAAACUGCGAAUACCGGAGAAUGUUAUCACGGGAGACACACGGCGGGUGCUAACGUCCGUCGUGAAGAGGGAAACAACCCAGACCGCCAGCUAAGGUCCCAAAGUCAUGGUUAAGUGGGAAACGAUGUGGGAAGGCCCAGACAGCCAGGAUGUUGGCUUAGAAGCAGCCAUCAUUUAAAGAAAGCGUAAUAGCUCACUGGUCGAGUCGGCCUGCGCGGAAGAUGUAACGGGGCUAAACCAUGCACCGAAGCUGCGGCAGCGACGCUGAUGCGUUGUUGGGUAGGGGAGCGUUCUGUAAGCCUGCGAAGGUGGCCUGUGAGGGUUGCUGGAGGUAUCAGAAGUGCGAAUGCUGACAUAAGUAACGAUAAAGCGGGUGAAAAGCCCGCUCGCCGGAAGACCAAGGGUUCCUGUCCAACGUUAAUCGGGGCAGGGUGAGUCGACCCCUAAGGCGAGGCCGAAAGGCGUAGUCGAUGGGAAACGGGUUAAUAUUCCCGUACUUGGUGUUACUGCGAAGGGGGGACGGAGAAGGCUAUGUUGGCCGGGCGACGGUUGUCCCGGUUUAAGCGUGUAGGCUGGUUUUCCAGGCAAAUCCGGAAAAUCAAGGCUGAGGCGUGACGACGAGGCACUACGGUGCUGAAGCAACAAAUGCCCUGCUUCCAGGAAAAGCCUCUAAGCAUCAGGUAACACGAAAUCGUACCCCAAACCGACACAGGUGGUCAGGUAGAGAAUACCAAGGCGCUUGAGAGAACUCGGGUGAAGGAACUAGGCAAAAUGGUGCCGUAACUUCGGGAGAAGGCACGCUGACAUGUAGGUGAAGUGAUUUACUCAUGGAGCUGAAGUCAGUCGAAGAUACCAGCUGGCUGCAACUGUUUAUUAAAAACACAGCACUGUGCAAACACGAAAGUGGACGUAUACGGUGUGACGCCUGCCCGGUGCCGGAAGGUUAAUUGAUGGGGUCAGCGCAAGCGAAGCUCCUGAUCGAAGCCCCGGUAAACGGCGGCCGUAACUAUAACGGUCCUAAGGUAGCGAAAUUCCUUGUCGGGUAAGUUCCGACCUGCACGAAUGGCGUAAUGAUGGCCAGGCUGUCUCCACCCGAGACUCAGUGAAAUUGAACUCGCUGUGAAGAUGCAGUGUACCCGCGGCAAGACGGAAAGACCCCGUGAACCUUUACUAUAGCUUGACACUGAACAUUGAGCCUUGAUGUGUAGGAUAGGUGGGAGGCUUUGAAGUGUGGACGCCAGUCUGCAUGGAGCCGACCUUGAAAUACCACCCUUUAAUGUUUGAUGUUCUAACGUGGACCCGUGAUCCGGGUUGCGGACAGUGUCUGGUGGGUAGUUUGACUGGGGCGGUCUCCUCCUAAAGAGUAACGGAGGAGCACGAAGGUUGGCUAAUCCUGGUCGGACAUCAGGAGGUUAGUGCAAUGGCAUAAGCCAGCUUGACUGCGAGCGUGACGGCGCGAGCAGGUGCGAAAGCAGGUCAUAGUGAUCCGGUGGUUCUGAAUGGAAGGGCCAUCGCUCAACGGAUAAAAGGUACUCCGGGGAUAACAGGCUGAUACCGCCCAAGAGUUCAUAUCGACGGCGGUGUUUGGCACCUCGAUGUCGGCUCAUCACAUCCUGGGGCUGAAGUAGGUCCCAAGGGUAUGGCUGUUCGCCAUUUAAAGUGGUACGCGAGCUGGGUUUAGAACGUCGUGAGACAGUUCGGUCCCUAUCUGCCGUGGGCGCUGGAGAACUGAGGGGGGCUGCUCCUAGUACGAGAGGACCGGAGUGGACGCAUCACUGGUGUUCGGGUUGUCAUGCCAAUGGCACUGCCCGGUAGCUAAAUGCGGAAGAGAUAAGUGCUGAAAGCAUCUAAGCACGAAACUUGCCCCGA